rnacentral:rRNA from 1 species
CCGCGGUCAUACGGAGGAUCCAAGCGUUAUCCGGAAUUACUGGGCGUAAAGCGCGCGUAGGCGGCUUAUCAAGUCAGAGGUGAAAGCCCGGGGCUCAACCCCGGAACUGCCUUUGAAACGAGUGAGCUAGAAUCUUGGAGAGGUCAGUGGAAUUCCGAGUGUAGAGGUGAAAUUCGUAGAUAUUCGGAAGAACACCAGUGGCGAAGGCGACUGACUGGACAAGUAUUGACGCUGAGGUGCGAAAGCGUGGGGAGCAAACAGG